GGAGGCGUCAGGGUUCCUGGUGGGCCUCCCCGCCUUCAAAGCGGGAGGGACGGGGCAUCCCCGUCCGGCGGGUUCGAUUCCCGUCCGCCUCCG
rnacentral:tRNA from 1 species